rnacentral:rRNA from 1 species
AGGACGAACGCUGGCGGCGUGCUUAACACAUGCAAGUCGAGCGGAAAGGCCCUUUGGGGGUACUCGAGCGGCGAACGGGUGAGUAACACGUGAGUAAUCUGCCCUUCACUCUGGGAUAGCCCUCCGAAAGGGGGAUUAAUACCGGAUACGACGCGCUCCUGCAUGGGGGUGUGUGGAAACUUUUUGGGUGGGGGAUGUGCUCGCGGCCUAUCAGCUUGUUGGUGGGGUAAUGGCCUACCAAGGCUUCGACGGGUAGCCGGCCUGGAGAGGGUGACCGGCCACACUGGGACUGAGACACGGCCCAGACUCCGUACGGGAGCAGCAGUGGGGAAUAUGGACAAUGGGCGAAGCCUGAUCAGCAACGCGCGUGAGGGAUGACGGCCUUCGGUUCGUAAACCUCUUU